rfam:Picea glauca, whole genome shotgun sequence.
AUAACGGUGUCUUUAGACACCACCUUUGUCUUCAAAAAAACAUUC